rnacentral:pre_miRNA from 1 species
UAGACAGCUUAUUGUAUUCGACUGUAUUCACGAUAUGUAUUUGUGAAUACAGUAACGUAAAUAGCGCAAUUCAUGAUCUAUUCAGCUGUUUUUAAACGGGAAGUGAAUCAAUUAACACAAUAGACUCCU